rnacentral:SRP_RNA from 1 species
CCGCGCUAAGCGGGGAGUUAGCGGUGCCCUGUCGCCUGCAAUCCGCUACAGCAGGGCUGAAUUCCCACGCCGAGGCCUGCGCCUGUGGGGCCGGCCUGUGUAAGGAGCGUUGAGGCCCGAGUCUCGUGCAACCCAACCCUGUGAACCAUGUCAGGGCCGGAAGGCAGCAGCAUUAAGCAGCCGUUUGGGUGUGCCGCGAGGUCGCCCGGGCGGAGCCACCUGCAUGGGUAUCGCCUGUAGGGGCAGCGUCAAGGCUGGGUGCGCGG